UUCCCGGUUGCCAUUUUCUGACAUUUGAAAAGAUCUGAAGAUACGCCCCUUGGAUGCCUGCAGAGAAGCUCUGGGGCUUCAGUCAAUGACUCAGGGUAGCCACCGAACAUGAUGCUCGGGCAGUGGGUGCCACCUGGACUCCACUCUCCCCUCUCUCUGGGAUCAUAGAGUCCAAGGUGUUCUGUGGCCUCUCGGCCAAUCCCAGCAGCUCAGCGUGCAGAAGACCGAGGAGCCAUUGGAAUUCAACACAACACGAAAUAAUCAACAAAUUCGGGGAAUGUUAAUCUGACCAUCACCAGUUACAAAUGAUGUUUCAUGCUACCUUCUAUUCCUGCCUUCAUAAAUCAAGCUCUAAAUCUCCAGGAAAAAAUGUGCUCAGGAUGGCCAGAGAAAUGUCCUUCCAACUGUGCAUGGAAAGGUAUGAUUUUGUGCAGCAGGUGAAGGACUGGUUAGAGUAAGUGUGUGCUGAGCUUUUGUGUUUGAAAGCGAGCCUGUGCACUUCUAACGAUUGGAAGGUUUCCUUGCCUUCUCCGAUCUUACACACAGCAAGGACAGCAAAGCCUUCCAGACCUGCCUGUGACAUGCACUGCACAUUCUAAAGAUGCCUAUGCAAUGGAAAACACCACUGUCUGCUCCAGCACAGCUGCCAUUCUUCCAUCUUAUCGACCUUAAUGCAACAACUCCUCACAGGCAGAGAUUUUAAAAUGUGUUCUUGGCAGAAGAGAGACUCAAAGAUGGGACAAAUGUGUCAUUUAAAUGCCUGUUAAAAUGGAAACAGACAUAGUAUAGUCAGAGGAUUGUGGCAGCUAAGAACAUAGUCUCUGGAGCAAAUCUGCAUGGGUGGCAAUGCCAAGCACAUGAGGUCCUAGUUGUAUGAACUUAGGAAAAGAAAAAGAGAACAUAUAUCCCCCUACCUUUUGAUUUCCAACAGUCUACUGAGAGGCCAAGAUUAUUUGCAGGGAAAGAAAAGGGGUCAAAAUGUUUUGCCAGUAACUCCCAAAUCAUCUACAGCCAAGGAGAAAAGUGUUUCAAGACAGAGGUGCUCAAUGGUAUCAAAUACUGCCAACAGACCAAGUAAUACAUGCAUUGAAGUGUCUACUGGAUCUAGCUAUAUGAAUUUUUAAUUUAGGACACUUAGGCCAUACUGAAGCAAGGUGACAAAAUGAAUAGCUACAAUGUCUCGUGAAUCUUGGGUUUCCAUUCACCCUGGUAUUCAAGAGAAAUUCUUGCAUCAUGGAAGUUGCAGUUGGAUAGGACUUUCUCAGCUGAACACUGUCAUCUGCCAGAGCUUCAGGCAAGAACCCAGAACAGAUGAAACCCCAGACAUGACAAAAUAAGCCAAAGAAUACCAGGCCAAGGUGUGAAAGGCCAGAUGAGAACAAGCAGCGUACACGAUUCUGUUGCCAACAGAUCUCCCCUAACAGUGUCGUGCACCAAAUUUCCACAGUGAAUGUCAGGAAAAAAUGGCAAUUGAGGUGGGUGGUCAAAAGAGAAGCACAGUCUAUGAUGAAGUCACCCCAGAGAAGUCCUUUUUCCGUUUUCUCCUGAGAAAUUACCAGAAGAAAUUAAAAUCCUUUUGAGUAUUGCAUUUAUCUCUGCAGUAACAUUAUUUUUUCUUAAGGAAUCUCUAUCAAAUUUGCAUCUUGUCUAAUUUAGCAGGGAAUGUCACCAGGAUAAGACAACUGCAAAACCCAUUUGGGUGUGCCAAAUGACUUCAACCGAACCUCCAUGCAAACAACAUACAAGAUGCUUUCUUACUAAAUGCUCAAACAUCAAGUUCUACAUCCAGAACUGCCCCUCAACCCUCACCCUCUCGAACUCAGUAAAAAACAACCCUCUUUCUAGCUCUGCAUUUCCAAUGAAUGCCUCUUCCUCCAGACAUCCCUAGUUUUUGUUCAUGAUACUAGGACAUUCCUAAACUGGAAAUGUGAGAAUCAUGUGGACUGCUCGCUCCCUCCUUCAUUGCCUGAGUUUAAGCAAAUAAUAUUGAUUAGUUUUCCCCAAUAUUUUCUGUAAUCAACUAUUUCGUUUUUGUUUCUACAAUGAGCAGUCUUGUUCAUGCACCUGUUACUCUCACUUCAACCAUUCAGAAAGAUUCUUAGCUCCCAUUUACUCAUGAGUUCAUUUGAUGCAUAUUUGAGCAUCUGUUGUGUGCUGGAGGCACUAUGCUAGGUGUUGAGGAUAGAAAGGUGAGCACGGUAGACUUGGGGCCACUCCUCGAGGAGUUUACAAGCUGCUGGCUCUUCCCACCAUGAUAGAUGUUACAGAUUACCAUCAGAUUAACCUUGCUAACGUGCUCUUUGAAUUCUAUUUUUAACCCUGUUCCAAUGCCCCUACUGGUAUUGAAAACAAAACAAAGCAAAUCACAAUAAGGUAUCACCUCACCCCAAUUAAAAUGGCUAUUACAAAAAAGACGCAAAAUAAGAAACGCUGGCACUGAUUGGAGAAAGGGAACCCUUGUAUAC
rnacentral:lncRNA from 10 species